GACGAAAUCAACAUGAAUGAACACGAAUGGGCCUACAAACACUCUCAGAUGUGUACUCUCAAGCAAGCAGAUUCAGUGAAUGCAACAAAAGCACGCCGUUGCAUUAAACUAGAAAAAACGGAGCAAGACACCGAGAGCAAUCAACAAGCUACACAAGCCGGUUAUGUGUUUUGCUCUCGACCAAACCAGGUGGAGCGUGUGUUUGUUUCAUGGGAACUCUGACUGGUUUUUUGUGAUCCUGGAUCUGAUCGCGAAGUGGUUCUGGAUAUGGAUGGCGAGCCAGACCCUGUGAAAACUCUUUGCCGAAUCCAAAAGCAGUGUGGCCAGCUGUUCUGGAUGCAGGAGUAGAUCUACAGAUGUGAAUUACUUCAAAUCGCAGGAUUUCAGAUAAGCACGAGCAAAAACUACUUACUCCAUACGGAUCGUUUCUCUGAAAAACUAUUGAACUCACAAUAUCCUGCUCAUCAGGAGUCAGGUCUAAAGAGACUGCUCAUUUUAUUUUAUUUUAUUUUGGUUGUUAUUUUCAAAAGAGCGCACUUCUCUGUUGAUCUUCUGUUAAUUUUCUAUGUUGUUUACAUUGGGUUAUUGCACCAUUGUAACAUUGUAAUAAAUCUGCCAGCUGUUCAA